AGAAACAGAGUAAAACA
rnacentral:sRNA from 1 species